AAAAAAGCUAUGGAUGAGGCAAUCAAAGCCAUGAAUGGAAUGGAUUUAGAUGGCCGGAGUAUUACAGUUGAUAAGGCUCAACCAAACCAAGGUUCAGGUAGAGAUCAUGAUGGUGACCGUCCACGUGGUGGCCGUGAUCGAGGUCGAGAUUCUGGUGGUGCACGUGGAUCUAACAGUGGAGAUUGCUUUAAAUGUGGGAAACCUGGACAUUUUGCUAGGGAAUGUCCCAGUGAAGGUGGUAGAGGAGGUAGGUAUGGUGGUAGGGAUGACAAAUAUAGUGGUGGUGGUGGCGGCAGUGGUCGAUAUGGUCCGGACCGAAAUGGAGAUAGAUCUGGUGGGCGCAAUAGGGGUAGU
rnacentral:misc_RNA from 1 species